GUUCAGGGAUGGGAAUCGAACCCACAGUGUUCCGUUAUUAGGCAGAUGCCAUGUCCACUAGGCUACCCUGGA
rnacentral:tRNA from 1 species